rnacentral:rRNA from 1 species
AUUGAACGCUGGCGGCAGGCCUAACACAUGCAAGUCGAACGAGUGGCGGACGGGAGUGUAAUGUCUGGGAAACUGCCUGAUGGAGGGGGAUAACUACUGGAAACGGUAGCUAAUACCGCAUACCAUCGGAUUGGCCCAGAUGGGAUUAGCUAGUGGGUGGGGUAACGGGACACCUAGGCGACGAUCCCUAGCUGGUGUGAGAGGAUGACCAGCCAAACUGGAACGAGGAAACGGCCCAGACUCCUACGGGAGGCAGAAGUGGGGAAUAUUGCACAAGGGGCGCAAGCCUGAUGCAGCCAUGCCGCGUGGAUGAAGAAGGCCUUCGGUUUGUAAAGUACGUUCAGCGGGGAGGCGUUACCCACAGAAGAAGCACCGGCUAACUCCGUGCCAGCAGCCGCGGUAAUUC